AUCCGAGAAAAUGAUCACAGAGGAUUCCGGGAUCGGCUGAUGUUCGCUAUUGUCGAGGAAACACACAUCGCUCACGCUUCGGCACCGUACACAUCUCACAAUAUACAAGAAAAUGAUCACAGAGGACUCUGGGAUCGGCUGAUGUUCGCUAUUGUCGAAGAAACGCUCAACGCUCCGCUUCGGCACCGUACACAACUCACAAUAUUUAAGUCUGAUAGCAAUCUACGAUAUAUCUAACAAUCGAAUCAUACAAGUGGUAAUAAGAAGUACUGCAUGAGUGGCGAUAUGCGAUAAAACAUACCGUCAUAAUAUGAAUAAAUGAGACUGUAACCAUCAUCGUCGUAAGGGCAGAUCACAGAUGUUUCGUAACCGCCAACGUAUUUCACCUGACAAUCAUUGACAUCGUCGACAUCAGACAUUGUUGCAGUCAUCGGUUUCGCGCGGAGACAUGGAGGGUGUCAGCGCUUCGUCUAACGCACAAACAACGUUCAAAUAGACAUUCGUUUUGUGGUCUGUUUCAUGAAUUGUAUGCCUACGUUACGUUAUUACUGAAUGUAACCGACGGUGGUUACGUUGCAGUUGAUUUUUCACACUAUGCCAAAUGCAAGUACCCGCAGUACGUCUUGUUCUGCUCAAUGACAUUCCGUAAAACAGUUCGGUCCGUUGGAGACAUAAAACAGUGAAAGCGAACAAUUGUAAUCAUAGUUGAAACUGUAUAUCGUAAAAUCUUUCGGGUGCUGAAUAUUAACAACACUGAAAUGCGGUAUUUGCCAGUUCAAUUUACAUAUGAACGCCAGUGAGGAAUACACUGUGAUCAAAUGCAUAUUACAGGCAAACACCGCGUUGCAGUGUUGUUAGUAUUGAGUGUUCGAAAAUUAUACGGUUUUGUUCGGGUUCGACCAAUGUAAAUAUUGUUCGCCUACACCGUUUCCUAUUCCGAUUCGGAUGAGCGGUUUUCCUACAAUGAACGUUACUAGGCAGUCCAAGCGCUGUAGGUUUUAUGUAAAUUUGGCAAUUGGUAUAACGAGUCUGCGGCUACCAACAGUUUCGGCCGUCAAUUACAAUGAUAAUAAUAACGUUGUCAUACAAUUCGGGGCUCAGGUCGCAUAUGCGAUGUCUGUUUGGGCGUUGUUUGUACGGGAGAGGACGUGCUGACACAUUUCGGUCUCCUAAGAACAUCAGCUAUUGGGGCACCGGCAAAAUGACCGAACAGGCGACCUGCCGGUAGACGGACAGAACUCUUUCAAGGAAUUCUUUCUCAAACCUCAUAACGCAGACGCCGACCGCUUUCACAUAUGGCUACACAAGAUGCACUGUAUCCAUAUUUUUGUACAGAUCCGAGGAGUGAUCUCAGAGUUUUCCGGGAUCUGCUGAUGUUCGCUAUUGUCGAAUAAACGCUCAUCGCUCACGCUUCGACACCUUACACAACUUUCAAGAUUUAAGUCUAAUAGAAUACUACGAUAUAUCAAACAAUUAAAUCAUACAAGUGACAAUAAGAACUACUGCAUAAGUUACGAUAUGUGAUAAAAAAUAUGAUUCGUAAACGUCGACAACUACUUAUCUACCUCCACGUAAUAUAUGAGAUUAUGAACGCUCUGUAUGCUGUCGGUUAUCUGCUAACUGAAUUGUGCUGGUUGAAUCCUGGCAAUUGACAUCAUCGACAUCAGCCCAAUCUGACUUUGUUGCAGUCAUCGGUUUCGCGCGGAGACAAGGAGGGUGUCAGCGCUUCGUCUAACGCACAAACAACGUUCAAAUAGACAUUCGUUUUGUGAUUUGUUUCCAGACUUGUAUGCCUACGUUACGUUAUUAUUGAAUGUAACUGGCGGUGGUUACUUUAGUCUUGACGAUUGCAGUUGAUUUGUCACCUUAGGCCAAAUGCAAGUACCCGCAGUACGUCUUGUUCUGCUCAAUAACAUUCCGUAAAACAGUUCGGUCUGUUGGAGACAUAAAAUAGUGACAGCGAACAAUUGUAAUCAUAGUUGAAACUGUAUAUCGUAAAAUCUUUCGGGUGCUGAAUAUUAACAACACUGAAAUGCGGUAUUUGCCAGUUCAAUUUACAUAUGAACGCCAGUGAGGAAUACACUGUGAUCAAAUGCAUAUUACAGGCAAACACCGCGUUGCAGUGUUGUUAGUAUUGAGUGUUCGAAAAUUAUACGGUUUUGUUCGGGUUCGACCAAUGUAUAUAUAUAUACUGUUCGCCAACAACGUUUCAUAUUCCGAUUCGAAUGAGUGUUUUCGAUAACGAACGUUACUGGGCAGUGCAAGCACUGUAGGUUUUAUCUAAAUUUGGCAAUUGGUAUAACGAGUCUGCGGCUACCAACAGUUUCUGCCGUCAAUUACAAUGAUAAUAAUAACGUAAGUCAUACAAUUCGGGGCUCAGGUCGCAUAUGCGAUGUCUGUUUGGGCGUUGUUUGUACGGGAGAGGACGUGCUGACACAUUUCGGUCUCCUAAGAGCAUCGAUUUGGGCACCGGCAAAACGACCGAACAGGCGACCUGCCGGUAGACGGACAGAAAUCCUUCAGAUAGGAAUUCUCUCUCGAUUCUCAUAACUACGACACCGACCACUUUUAACAUAAAUUAAAUGAUAAAUGUUUAUACUUGAAUCCGAAAAAAAAAUGUAAAAAUAAUACUAUUAAUUUAGUAGUUAAAUAAUAACUGUUUAUAUGCUUUGUUGCAUUAUAAAAAAAAAAAAACUGUAAAGCUAUUUAUAUAUAUUAUGUAUUUUUUAAUUGUUUAAUAACGUUUGUAAUUUCUUCUAAGCGGUUACUAGGAUACUAAAAAUAUGUCUAAUUACUUUUUUUUAUUAUUAUUUAAUUUUUAUGAAUUAUUUUGUUAUAAUAUAUACCAUCCCCGGAUGCAUCCAAAUUUCACGUAAAAAAAAAAAAAAUGUAUAUGUUUAUAUUUUAUAUAUAGCUAUAUCAGGGACGUACGCAAAAUAAAGUUUUAGGGGUAUUUUUGAAAAUCAGUGAUUGAAAAGUAAAACUUUUUUAAAUAAAUAUACAAAAAGAAUUUAUAAAUAUUAGGUGUACUUAAAAUACAAACAUUAAUAUAACAAAAUCAACAUUAAAAUUCAUUAAGUAAAUAACUAUGCAAUACUCCUAAUAAUACACCCAAAACACCCCCCUGUGUACGUCUCUGAGCUAUAUAUAUGUAUUUUUUAAUUGUUUUAUAAUGUUUGUUAUUUCUUCUAAGUGAUUGCUAGGAUACUAAAAAUAUGUCUAAUUACUUUUUUUUUUUAUUAUUUAAUUUUUAUUAUUUAUUUCAAAAUCCAUGUAAAACUGUAAAAUACAUUCACUCGAUUACCUUAAACUAAAA